rnacentral:rRNA from 1 species
CAGGGAUUGCCCUAGUAACGGCGAGUGAAGCGGCAACAGCUCAAAUUUGAAAUCUGGCCUUCGGGUCCGAGUUGUAAUUUGUAGAGGAUGCUUUUGGUGCAGUGCCUUCCGAGUUCCUUGGAACAGGACGCCUUAGAGGGUGAGAGCCCCGUACGGUUGGACACUAAGCCUCUGUAAAGCUCCUUCGACGAGUCGAGUAGUUUGGGAAUGCUGCUCUAAAUGGGAGGUAAAUUUCUUCUAAAGCUAAAUACCGGCCAGAGACCGAUAGCGCACAAGUAGAGUGAUCGAAAGAUGAAAAGUACUUUGAAAAGAGGGUUAAAUAGCACGUGAAAUUGUUGAAAGGGAAGCGUUUAUGACCAGACCUUUGCCGGGCGGAUCAUCCGGUGUUCUUCACCGGUGCACUUCGCCCGGCUUAGGCCAGCAUCGAUUUCUGGAGGGGGACAAAGACCAUGGGAACGUAGCUCCUCUCGGGGAGUGUUAUAGCCCUAGGUGUAAUACCCUUCCGGGGAUCGAGGUUCGCGCUUCUGCAAGGAUGCUGGCGUAAUGGUCAUCAACGACCCGUCUUGAAACACGGACCAAGGAGUCGAACAUUUAUGCGAGUGUUUGGGUGUUAAACCCUCACGCGUAAUGAAAGUGAACGGAGGUGAGAGCCCUCUUUUGGGUGCAUCAUCGACCGAUCCUGAUGUAUUCGGAAGGAUUUGAGUAAGAGCAUAACUGUUCGGACCCGAAAGAUGGUGAACUAUGCGUGGAUAGGGUGAAGCCAGAGGAAACUCUGGUGGAGGCUCGCAGCGGUUCUGACGUGCAAAUCGAUCGUCAAAUCUGCGCAUGGGGGCGAAAGACUA